rnacentral:rRNA from 1 species
CGCUCAUCGACCUUCGGGUCACAUGGAGGAGAGUGGCGAACGGGUGAGUAACACGUGAGAAACCUGCCCCAAAGUUGGGAAUAACUCACGGAAACCUGAGCUAAUACCCGAUGCCGUCAACGAACCGAGUGGUUCAUUGACGAAAGAUUUAUCGCUUUGGGAGGGUCUCGCGGCCUAUCAGCUUGUUGGUGAGGUAACGGCUCACCAAGGCUCUGACAGGUAGCUAGUCUGAGAGGACGAAUAGCCAC